GGCUGUGCCCAUGGCAUAUGGAAGUUCUCAGGCUAGGGGUCUAAUCAGAGCUGUAGCUGCUGGCCCACACCACAGUUCACAGCAACGCCAGAUCCUCAAACCACUGAUGGAGGCCAGGGAUCAAACCCACGUCCUCAUGGAUGCUAGUCAGUUUUGUUAACCGCUGAGCCACAACGGGAACGGUACAGGAGUCUUUCCACCAGACUCCAAUUAGUUUUCAGUGAGAAUUUUUCCACAUGUAGAUAUAUUUUUGAUGUGUUUGUGGGGGGAGGUAAGUUCUGCAUCCUCCUACACUACCAUCUUGAGCUCCUCCCCUUAAAUACUUUUUUUUUGGGGGGCCAUGCCCAUGGCAUAGGGAAGUUCCUGGGCCAGAGAUUGAACAUGAGCCACAGUAGUGACAAUGCCAAGUCCUUAAACAUUAGGCCACCAGGAAGCUCCCCUCAAAUACUUAAUACAGUUUAAAAUUUUAUUUCCUUACCAAUGUCCCAACUUUUUCAUUUCUGAGUGAUAUUACCAUUCUUCUAGUUUCCCAAGCUUGAGAGGCUGAUGUCAUCUUGGUCGCUUUGCCAUUUAUCUCAUCCUUUAUUUAGACUGUAUUACCAUUAUUUAUUUCUCCAAAGUGUUCACAAAUUAGGUUCCUAUAUUUAACUCUGCCAUGACCUUCACUCAGGUAUGAUCACUGGAUUACUUCAACAGCUGCCAGUAAGUGUCUCUUCCAGACCACUCUCCCACCAACCUUCCAACAUCAUUGUCAGAGUGAUGUUUCUAAAAAAAAAUUUCAUUAUGUCACUCCCUGUUGAAGAUCCUACAGUGUUAUUAAGUUUAGGCUGCUUAUUCUUUUUUAAAGGCAGAAAAUUACCUGAUUUCCUCUUAUCUCUAUAACAUUAUUUUUUGCUUCUUUUCUGCAUUCCUCUCUGCCCAAAGGGUUCUCUUUGGUGUUAGCCCCACAGUAAGUUUGCUUUUACCACUCUUUCAAAAUAAAAAUUUAUUUUUGUUUUAUAUUUUAUCCCAGCUGGUAUAAUUAUACAUGCUCAAUAAACAUAUAUUUGUUUUCAAUAUUAUGUGAACGAUAUGCUAUUUAAAAAGGACAAUAAAACAUUUGACUUGCUGUUGAGAUAAGACUUUUUCAGUGUUGUCAGGAAGUAGAACUUCUCAGUUUUAAUGUGGGGGGUCAGUUAAAAAGGUGGCCCUACCUCACAGGAAAUAGAAAAGUGUCUACCCAAGACCUAUGAGUGCUUCUAAAUAUGUGUUGAUGGCUCUUCCAUAAUCUGGAAUGAGGUCUAUGUAACUACCUUUGAAUCAAUUUGUUUAUAAUUCAUUCAUUCAUUUAUGAUUCAACUUUUACAAGGCCAAAAAGAAAUAUGAAUAUAUUGAUUUUUAAAAAUGUUAGACUUAUAAGGCAUUCUCUUUAAAUGUUAAGACUCACAAGGCAUUCUCUUUCUUCAGUCUAUGUCAUUGCUUUUUAUUCAUCUAAUCCCUUGCAAAUACAUUUCCUAUUGCACUUCAAAGAAUAUAUGGUCUCUGUUUAUUUACCAUGUUUAUUAGUUUUUUCUUUCCCCAACCCAUGCUAAGUUUCUGAAAUACAGGAUCUUUGUCCUGUAAUUUUGUGAGAAUCUUAUGAUUUAGGGUAGAUAAGUGCUUGCUAUUUUAUGAAAUCAGACAAAGUAACAUGAACACACAAACUGCAAUGUGUGGAGAUGGAUUUUUAUCUGAGCAUUUAGGAAGAAAAUGCUUUGCAUCCAGGAAGAAAUCUCUUAGAGAGCUGUUAAAUACCAGAAUAGCAAGAAUGCAGCUAUUUAAAUAGUUCCUUAUGCAUCUUUUGCAUUGUGGUGUGCAAAUUCGGGCCAGUGAAUUUUCAGGGCAAUACGCUACCCAAGUGAAUCUGUUUCUCAUUUUAAAUAAUUCUUAAAAUAUGUGAAAUACUCAAUAAGCGUUCCCUCUUCUAAGGGUCUAGAUGAUGUCCAAAUCCUGGAUACACACUAGUCUAGGAUAUAUAAAAUGUCCUUACUAUUACUAAGUUUAGGUGCUAUUUGAAAAUGGGCUUUUAUGUAGUUAAUAAACACAAAUUUUCCCCCUUUAGGAGGACUUCAUAGAGAUAGUUUCACACUUUAUAGUAGUUUCAAAAAUGAAUAAUUUGACACUAGGUUGAGAAUCCAAAUCAGACUACUGUAAGCAGAUGUGACAUCCAGAAGGUUAACCCUAGCAUCUGGUAUGCCCUCCUAUGGCAUUAUGACAUGGGUUUUAGAAUUGCAACAUUGACCAAUGUAUGUUUAAGAACAGAAUAUGUCAAAGAAGGUCACAUAAACAAUGUGAGAAUGAGAAAGGGGGAGGGAGAGAAUAUAACAUUGGAAGAAAAUUGCAAUGAUAUCGCAGGCUAUAGAAAUGUUGAGAAAUUUUACAGAUAUGUACAUAAAGGAGCCAGGAUUUUUGGUUAUGCAUAAUGAAUAAAUACAAUCAUACAGUCAAAUUACCUCAUUUUCCCUCUCCUAUUUAUAGACUUUUUAAAAUAGGUUUUUCACAAAUAAACACCAAACUUGGAGCUAACAUGGCCAAGUGCAUCCAUACUUUCUGCUCUCUUCCUGUUCACUACCUUUAGGUGAGUUAAACUGGCAUGCAGGGCUUUUACUUUAAAUUGAUAUUCUAAUUCCUGCUAAAGCAACCUGAAAGGGAAGCAUAUUAACAAAAUGUUUGGAGGACUCCUGAUAAUAAAGUGCAUUCUAUCCAUGGUAAAAGUAAUGAAAGUUGAAACUUAAAAAUAUUCACAAUUGUACCAACAUUUAAUUAGCAAUGCCACAUCACUGUUGGCACCAGAAAGCCCUGAAUAAACUAUUGUUGUGGGUUUGCUGAUAGACAGCUUGUCAGGAAAUGAUCAGUAUUGGCAAUGAUUUGGGGCUAAUUUCAUGGAUGUUUUCCAGUUUCCGUGAUCUUCCUUUCCCCUUUUCCAAACAAAAGUGCUUCUGAAAAUUUCUGUUUAACAUCUUUCACUUCGAAUAAAGAAAACACAAAACAUUCCCCUUGCAGCUGGUAUUGGUGAAAUUACUUCUCUGGAGGGACCUGCAGAUGAGGGGUCUUGUUUGAGAAGCACCAGGCAGAAGAAAGUCUUCAAGAUGUCUGUGUUUUUUCUUAAUCUGAGAUCACUCCCGUUUUAGUGUCUAUCCACUUCCUGUUGGGAAAUGUACCAGAGGCAUCAGAAAGAUCCAAAGAUUGAUCUGAGUAAAAUAAAACAUUCAUUUAAACUCACUGGUUAUACAGUAUUAUCUUUAACAAAAGCUAUAUUAUGAUAAAAUCCAUAUCAGUUUCUAAGAGGCGAUGUUUUUCCUCCAGAGCUGAAUAACGUCACCUGAUCUAUUUGUUUCUCUGUGUGAAAUAAAUUAACUUUUCAAAUGUAAUAUAAAAGAAGACAGAACCAAACUUCACAAAUGUUGACAAACAAUCUAAAUCAUUACACUUCCCAAAUCAAAUGGAACAUAUGUUUUCCCCAAUUUUUUUCUGUAUAAAGUAUGCAAACAAUUACCCGGAUUUGGAGGGUAUAAUUAUGAAGGGGUUGAUAUCUAAAAGGUUAUUAUUGAUUUAUAAAGUUCUCUAGUUUAAUCGAAGACAGAUUUAGGAAUUGGAAAGAAAAUACUGCUUUCUCCAGGAACAAUAAAUGUCCCAAAAGGGAAAUGUAAGAUUUAAGAGUAAUUUUUAUAAGACAUAUAUACUGCAGUUUGUGGAUCUGGGAGGUGUUUCUCAUUCGAACUUCUAUGUAAUGAACAUUUUGUAGAACCAUCUCACUUAUUGUAGUGUAUUUUAUAUGCCUUAAAAUGCAGUAAUUAAAUUCCUAGAGUAAUUUUUGUUGAGUUUGAAUGCCUCAUUUUACAUUAUGGAUUUAUAAUCCUCAGUCUGCAGAUUUAGUACAUAUAACAAGUAUAAAAUAUUUAAACAAUAAAUUUAGUUUAAUUUACUCCCCAUCAGGUAUAAAUGUUCUUUCUCUGUGUCUCCAGUAUGCAUGCACACACACACACACACAGAGCACAAGUUCAUUCAUCUAAUGUUGGUUAAUGUGAUAUUGCUUAAUAUUGUGGUUGUAUAAUAAAAAUUAAAUCUUUCAUGGACUCUUAUACUUUAGUUUUAUAUGCAGGUUUAAUUAUUGCAAUGUAUUUAUUAAAAACAUUUUUUUUCUUUUUAGGACCACACUAGUGGCAUAUGGAUGUUCCCAGGCUAGGGGCUGAAUCAGAGCUGUAGCUGCUGGCCUAUACCAUAGCCACAGCAAUGCCAGAUCCAAGCUGCAUCUGUGACCUAUAGCACAGCUCAUGGCAACGCUGUAUCCUUAACCCACUGAGCAAGGCCAGGGAUCGAACCUGCAUCCUCAUGGAUAGUAGUUGGGUUUGUUAACCACUGAGCCAUGUUGGGAACUCCAAAAGAAAUUUUUUAAAAAUCAAAAUUUCUUCUUUUAGGGAAAAAGUUAAUUUCCUUUUUGAUUUCAUCAUUGACCCACUAGUUUUUUUUUAGUAGCAUAUUGUUUAGACUCCAUGUAAUCAUUUUUCUCCUUUCUUUUUCUGUGGUUGAUUUCUAGAUUCAUGCUGUUGUGGUCAGAAAAGAUGCUUGAGAUACUUUCUAUACCUUUAGAUUUGUUGAGGACUUUUUUGUGCCCACAUACUAAUGUGGUCAGUCCUAGAGAAUGUUCCAUGUGUAUUCAAAAAGAAAGUGUAUUCUUUUUUUUUUAAUGCAAUGUCCUGAAAAUAUAAUUUAAGUCUAAUUGUUCUAUUACGUCAUUUAGGAUCUCUGUUGCCUUAUUAAUUUUCUGUCUAGAAUAUCUGUCCAUUGAUGUGAAUAGGGUGUUAAUGUCUCCUACUCUUAUCGUAUUCCCAUCAAUUUCUCCCUUUAUGUCUAAUAGUAUUUGUUUUAUGCAUUUGCAUGCUUCUAUAUUAGGUGUGUAUAUGUUAACGAGUGUAAAAUCCUCUUCUUGUAUUGAUUCUUUUAUCAUUAUGUAGUGUUCUCCUUUAUCUUUUUUAUGCCCUUGGUUUGAAAUCUACUUUGUCUUGUAUUGCUAACCCUGCUUUCUUGUCAUUUCUGUUUGCAUGAAAUAUCUUUUUCCAUCCCCUUGCUUUCAAUAUCUGUGUAUCCUUGGCCCUAAAGUUAGUCUCUUGUAGGCAAUAUUUUGUAGGCUCUCACUUUUUAUCCAUUAUGCUACUCUUUGUCUCUUGAUUGGAGUAUUUGACAUUUAAGACAUUCCCAAAGAUGGUAAUAGCUAAGGACUUCUGGCCAAUAUGACACAACAAGGAUUGGAUUUACCUCACACCUUAUGCAAAUUGAAAACUGGACAAAAUAUGUGAAACAAGUAUCAGACAUUGGACCUCAGAAGCACAGGACUGUUUUCCCUGAGAGAAGGGAAACAAAUACAAUGAGUCCUAUGAUUAUAACAGCUUAAUGACUAAAAUCAAUUUCCAAGCUGCAACA
rnacentral:lncRNA from 1 species